GCCAGGCAUGGUGGUGCAUACCUGUAGUCCCAGCUACUUGGGAGGCUGAGGCAGGGGAAUUGCUUGAACCCGGGAGGCACAGAUUGCAGUGAGCCAUAAUUGUGCCACUUUACUCCAGCCUGGGUGACAGAGUGAGACUCCCAACUCUUUUUUCUUUUUCCUUUGAGACAGAGCCUUGCUUUGUCACCCAGGCUGGAGAGCAGUGGCACAAUCUCGGCUCACUGCAACCUCCGCAUCCCGGGUUCACGCCAUUCUCCUGCCUCGG
ensembl:misc_RNA Metazoa_SRP Metazoan signal recognition particle RNA